rnacentral:rRNA from 1 species
UACAGAGGGUGCAAGCGUUAAUCGGAAUUACUGGGCGUAAAGCGUGCGUAGACGGUUAUGUAAGUCGGGUGUGAAAGCCCCGGGCUCAACCUGGGAAUUGCAUUCGAGACUGCAUAGCUAGGGUGCGGAAGAGGGAAGCGGAAUUUCCGGUGUAGCGGUGAAAUGCGCAGAUAUCGGGAAGAACACCCGUGGCGAAGGCGGUUCUCUGGGACGGUACUGACGCUGAGACGCGAAAGCGUGGGGAGCGAACAGG